CCACAAUGUAAAUUCCAAACGUUCACACGCUAGUCCAGCAUUCAUGUGGAACACUCACAUUAAACUCGGCUUCAUAAAAAACUUGAAAAGGAUAAGUUAAGCAAUUUUAUACAUCUCAAUGAUUCAUAGAACAUAGCAAACAUAUACUAGUUAAUAGCAAAAGACAAAGUUGUGAGAAGGUUUACAAAUCAGGAAAAAACAACCAAGGCUUCUCUGAGCAAAGGGCCUCCCGGCAGGCUUAAAUUUCCUAGAGUUCACUCUGGUUUUUCCUUGUUGCCACCAUCCAGGGUUAGGUUUUCUCAUUCCAGAAUAACCAAUUAUAAUUGUGUUCUCAGCUGGAAUGCUGAACUGAACCAUGCAGUGUACUGACUAGCUGAAAGUCUUGUGCAUUCCACUAAAUUUAAGCGCCGCUAUUUGCAGAAAUAAGCAGACCACAAUGCCUCUUGUCCGCGCACCUGUCCCAAAAACCUCCAUGCAGCCGUGCCAGCUUGUCCUCGGUCCAUGGAUGAACUGGAAGAAAGUGCAUUCCGGACUAGGAUGCAAAUGUUUUCGCUCGCCCCUGCACUGCAAUUAGGAAGUAAAACGUAUGAAUCAGCUUCUUUUAGAUUGCGUUGGUCAUUCUACCUAGUAACUACCAAUGUAGGAAUACCUGGAAGACGGGUGGUUAGAUGACGGCAACGAGGGAUAGCCAUCUCAUUUUGCGCAGUUCUACUAAAACUGAGGUGUGUGCUUUUGAUUGCGCGGAUAGAAACGAUACGGAGACAGACAUCCCGAAAUGAUAUGGAGACAGACAUCCCUGUUUGCGCAAAUACGAAAUACGGUUAUCUAAAUAGUGACAGAUAUUUGCAGUGGCGUAUGAUUAACAGCAGCAUCUAUUGUGUUAUAAUUGCCACUAGAUUGACAGUAUGAAAGUGUCCUUAAGUAAGUAGCAUCACAUCACAUCAACACUGCCACUAGAUUAACAUGCAGAACAAUAGCAUUAGUAUUACUGUCAUGAGAGUAGCACAUGGUCAGUAAAUGUGCAAUCAAAUUUGUGCAGUUCCACUAGGAUGCAGCAAUGUUAGCGGUGUGAGAUUUAAGUCUAACUGCAAAAACACAAUUCAUGGGAAAUAAAUCAAGACGGAAGCACUUCAUAAAAUAGUGGUGGCAUUGCUUCAAUUUAUCGAUGGCACUAGACCAUUACUUAUAGUGACAUUAGGUGGCAUUGCUUAAUGCUUCAUGUGAUUUUACAUUAACGGUAGCGAUAUGGGCAUAGGGACAGCAGAGGCAUAAAGUGGUGAGGCAGAUGUGGUUGCCGAGAGCGGCAAGCACUCAGGCAGCAUGUCUGCAUUUGUCCCAUUUUUUAUCUCCUCGGCGACAUUUUCCUAUGUGAGCACAGGAAAUCUAGACCUGCUCAUUCUCAUUUGCGUUGUACCCCAACACCCGUCACUUUCUUUCCUUUUUCAACCAAGAGAUAGGUCCACGUCCCCCCACCCUUCGCCAUCCACCAUGCUUUCUUCGUCUUCUCAACCAAGAGACCAGUUGGGUAGCCAGUAUCUACUACUUUCCCCCGUUUCCUCUUAGAACCAAGUCCUAUAUUCAUGCUACAACUUUCCCACUUUCUUCCCUGUUUGAACCAACUCUUAGAGUCGACUGUAUGAACUAGCUUUACCUCUAAUAAUAGUAAAAGUCUAGGUGGAUUUGGGACAGUGGACGGAAGUAGAAAAGAUCCACACGAAGCCCAGUGGGGAGCUGGGGCAGUAGAGCAAGGCAGGUUUCGAAGGAAUAUAUACCUAAGGGUCGUCGGCAUGUGGCAAAGACGGCGUCGGGAGGCCGCAUCUUGGCCACAAUACCGCAGGGAGGAAGAAGGGGUCGGAGGCCCUCCGGAGCCGGCGCUCUCUCGGAGAGAACGACACAGCCGCCGAUCAGUACGCGCGGGUAGCCGUUGGUCUCCUCCCUCGCCACCGACGACAGCAUGAACAAUGCACCUACACCCCUGCCCCGGUCGAGGUUGUCCGGCCGGAUUUGUGACCAGCCGUGAGCUGAGAGAGAGUGUGGCCACCUAUGUCUUGCUUAGAUCUUAAGAGCAUGAGAGAGUGAACGAGAGGAACCCUAGUAAAGCAAGCGCUAAGGCUCCUGCUUAUAUAUAUAGUGGAGUGAUUUUGUUGUACCAGCUCCAAAAAAAUGCGCUCCUACGUGUAACUGUAACAUCCCAAAUUUCCAAUUUGGAAUGUUAUACAUUAGGUCAUCAUGCAUAGCAAAUUUUAUUGCUUUCUCGUUAGCAAUCCUCGAAAUCCUAAGCAACUCAAGGACCUUCGGAGUGAGUUGGGGAUUUUCCCGGUUUUUCAUAUUUGUGAACUGCUGCUACUUUUGUGUGCCCGUGAAUCAUCGUAAUUGUUGCCGAAAAAUAUGCGUCCUCACUAGUUUUAUCAUACGAGCAGUGUGUUUUUUGAUGAAAUAGAGUACUCGUUCGAGAACUGUGCGCCGUUGUAUACAUAAGUACUUGUAAACACUGUUGGUGCUACCCCACUUGUAAGCAGUUGUGCAAAACACGGCACAUUGGCUCAGCUCGCUUCAACACUAGGCUGUCGACCAGCUAACAAUCAACAAUCUGCUGUCUGACAUAGAAGCAACUAUGUAUCUUGUUACAGUGGUUCAUGCAGUUAACUGAGGCCACAAUGUAAAUUCCAAACGUUCACACGCUAGUCCAGCAUUCAUGUGGAACACUCACAUUAAACUCGGCUUCAUAAAAAACUUGAAAAGGAUAAGUUAAGCAAUUUUAUACAUCUCAAUGAUUCAUAGAACAUAGCAAACAUAUACUAGUUAAUAGCAAAAGACAAAGUUGUGAGAAGGUUUACAAAUCAGGAAAAAACAACCAAGGCUUCUCUGAGCAAAGGGC
rnacentral:lncRNA from 1 species